rnacentral:rRNA from 1 species
UACGUAGGGGGCAAGCGUUGUCCGGAUUUAUUGGGCGUAAAGAGCUCGUAGGCGGUUCCGUAAGUCGGAUGUGAAAACUCGGGGCUCAACCCCGAGACGCCAUCCGAUACUGCGGUGACUUGAGUCUGGUAGGGGAACACGGAAUUCCUGGUGUAGCGGUGAAAUGACGCAGAUAUCAGGAGGAACACCGAUGGCGAAGGCAGUGUUCUGGGCCAGUACUGACGCUGAGGAGCGAAAGGCGUGGGGAGCGAACAGG